UUAAGCGACUAAGCGUACACGGUGGAUGCCCUGGCAGUCAGAGGCGAUGAAGGACGUGCUAAUCUGCGAAAAGCGUCGGUAAGGUGAUAUGAACCGUUAUAACCGGCGAUGUCCGAAUGGGGAAACCCAGUGCAAUUCGUUGCACUAUCGUUAACUGAAUACAUAGGUUAACGAGGCGAACCGGGGGAACUGAAACAUCUAAGUACCCCGAGGAAAAGAAAUCAACCGAGAUUCCCCCAGUAGCGGCGAGCGAACGGGGAGCAGCCCAGAGUCUGAAUCAGCUUGUGUGUUAGUGGAACGGUCUGGAAAGUCCGACGGUACAGGGUGAUAGUCCCGUACACCAAAAUGCACAGGUUGUGAACUCGAAGAGUAGGGCGGGACACGUGGUAUCCUGUCUGAAUAUGGGGGGACCAUCCUCCAAGGCUAAAUACUCCUGACUGACCGAUAGUGAACCAGUACCGUGAGGGAAAGGCGAAAAGAACCCCGGCGAGGGGAGUGAAAAAGAACCUGAAACCGUGUACGUACAAGCAGUGGGAGCACCUUCGGGUGUGACUGCGUACCUUUUGUAUAAUGGGUCAGCGACUUAUAUUCUGUAGCAAGGUUAACCGUAUAGGGGAGCCGUAGGGAAACCGAGUCUUAACUGGGCGUUAAGUUGCAGGGUAUAGACCCGAAACCCGGUGAUCUAGCCAUGGGCAGGUUGAAGGUUGGGUAACACUAACUGGAGGACCGAACCGACUAAUGUUGAAAAAUUAGCGGAUGACUUGUGGCUGGGGGUGAAAGGCCAAUCAAACCGGGAGAUAGCUGGUUCUCCCCGAAAGCUAUUUAGGUAGCGCCUCGUGAACUCAUCUUCGGGGGUAGAGCACUGUUUCGGCUAGGGGGUCAUCCCGACUUACCAACCCGAUGCAAACUACGAAUACCGAAGAAUGUUAUCACGGGAGACACACGGCGGGUGCUAACGUCCGUCGUGAAGAGGGAAACAACCCAGACCGCCAGCUAAGGUCCCAAAGUCAUGGUUAAGUGGGAAACGAUGUGGGAAGGCACAGACAGCCAGGAUGUUGGCUUAGAAGCAGCCAUCAUUUAAAGAAAGCGUAAUAGCUCACUGGUCGAGUCGGCCUGCGCGGAAGAUGUAACGGGGCUAAACCAUGCACCGAAGCUGCGGCAGCGACACUAUGUGUUGUUGGGUAGGGGAGCGUUCUGUAAGCCUGCGAAGGUGACCUGUGAGGGUUGCUGGAGGUAUCAGAAGUGCGAAUGCUGACAUAAGUAACGAUAAAGCGGGUGAAAAGCCCGCUCGCCGGAAGACCAAGGGUUCCUGUCCAACGUUAAUCGGGGCAGGGUGAGUCGACCCCUAAGGCGAGGCCGAAAGGCGUAGUCGAUGGGAAACAGGUUAAUAUUCCUGUACUUGGUGUUACUGCGAAGGGGGGACGGAGAAGGCUAUGUUAGCCGGGCGACGGUUGUCCCGGUUUAAGCAUGUAGGCUGGUUGUCCAGGCAAAUCCGGAUAAUCAAGGCUGAGGUGUGAUGACGAGGCACUACGGUGCUGAAGUAACAAAUGCCCUGCUUCCAGGAAAAGCCUCUAAGCAUCAGGUAACAUCAAAUCGUACCCCAAACCGACACAGGUGGUCAGGUAGAGAAUACCAAGGCGCUUGAGAGAACUCGGGUGAAGGAACUAGGCAAAAUGGUGCCGUAACUUCGGGAGAAGGCACGCUGGUGUGUAGGUGAAGUCCCUGCGGAUGGAGCUGAGACCAGUCGAAGAUACCAGCUGGCUGCAACUGUUUAUUAAAAACACAGCACUGUGCAAACACGAAAGUGGACGUAUACGGUGUGACGCCUGCCCGGUGCCGGAAGGUUAAUUGAUGGGGUUAUCCGUAAGGAGAAGCUCUUGAUCGAAGCCCCGGUAAACGGCGGCCGUAACUAUAACGGUCCUAAGGUAGCGAAAUUCCUUGUCGGGUAAGUUCCGACCUGCACGAAUGGCGUAAUGAUGGCCAGGCUGUCUCCACCCGAGACUCAGUGAAAUUGAACUCGCUGUGAAGAUGCAGUGUACCCGCGGCAAGACGGAAAGACCCCGUGAACCUUUACUAUAGCUUGACACUGAACAUUGAGCCUUGAUGUGUAGGAUAGGUGGGAGGCUUUGAAGCGUGGACGCCAGUCUGCGUGGAGCCAACCUUGAAAUACCACCCUUUAAUGUUUGAUGUUCUAACGUUGGCCCCUGACCGGGGUUGCGGACAGUGUCUGGUGGGUAGUUUGACUGGGGCGGUCUCCUCCCAAAGCGUAACGGAGGAGCACGAAGGUUAGCUAAUCCUGGUCGGACAUCAGGAGGUUAGUGCAAUGGCAUAAGCUAGCUUGACUGCGAGCGUGACGGCGCGAGCAGGUGCGAAAGCAGGUCAUAGUGAUCCGGUGGUUCUGAAUGGAAGGGCCAUCGCUCAACGGAUAAAAGGUACUCCGGGGAUAACAGGCUGAUACCGCCCAAGAGUUCAUAUCGACGGCGGUGUUUGGCACCUCGAUGUCGGCUCAUCACAUCCUGGGGCUGAAGUAGGUCCCAAGGGUAUGGCUGUUCGCCAUUUAAAGUGGUACGCGAGCUGGGUUUAGAACGUCGUGAGACAGUUCGGUCCCUAUCUGCCGUGGGCGCUGGAGAAUUGAGGGGGGCUGCUCCUAGUACGAGAGGACCGGAGUGGACGCAUCACUGGUGUUCGGGUUGUCAUGCCAAUGGCACUGCCCGGUAGCUAAAUGCGGAAGAGAUAAGUGCUGAAAGCAUCUAAGCACGAAACUUGCCCCGAGAUGAGUUCUCCCUGAGACUUUAAGUCUCCUGAAGGAACGUUAAAGACGAUGACGUUGAUAGGCCGGGUGUGUAAGCGCAGCGAUGCGUUGAGCUAACCGGUACUAAUGAACCGUGAGGCUUAACCUU
rnacentral:rRNA from 1 species